GGUUGACCUCGGAUCAGGUAGGGAUACCCGUUC
rnacentral:rRNA from 1 species